GGCUGAACAAGUGAUGAUUUAAAGAAGGUAUAUAUUAUACUGAAUAAUGUUUAGGUCAUUUAAGUAAACAGCAGGAUACCCUUGCAAACCUGCAAUCUUGAUUUAUAUUAACAGAUAUCUCUUCUGAUUGUCAAAUAUAAUAGGUAUGUCAAAUACAAUGUGUCAAUUACAGUGUGCAGGCUGAAUGGAGGUGGUGAGAUGAUUGCAAAGGCAAAUCUGAAAGUUGCUAUUUAAUAAGAAAAUUAAAUAGUGUUUACAGGCACAUUUUGAUUCAGAUAUUAUACACUUAGAAUUGAAAACCUUACAUCAGUUUUGCAUAAAUCUGUUGAUAGACUUAUGCAUUUUAGAUGCUUAUCUUUUGUGUGUUGUCUCUGCAUAGUUCUAUUUUUGAGAAACUAAAUGGAUAUGAUCAUUGCUUGGGUAACAGUGAUUGGUGAAAGAUUUGUCAAGCAAUUUAGAAUUUUAUGACAAGACAGGAGGCUUUAUAUUUGCUUUACUUUCUUUACUGAAUCCUCCCAGCAGCAAAGAAAUAGUUAAACAGUUUGAACAAAAAUCAGAAUACAUCUAGUCGGUAAUAUAUGGCUGUGAGACUCCUCCCAACUCCUCUUUCUUUGCUGCUUGCCUCCCAGGUGAUUCAGUUCUAAUUUACAACCCUUUGAUUAUAGAUUUAUGUAUAUUUAUAUGGUUUUCUAAAACACUUUACACUUUAAAUGUCUCUUUAAUUUUAUUAUCUCUAUAUUUUGUUUAUAUUUUGGCUUAUUUUUCUUUAUCCUGUUUGUUUACUGGGUCUCUACCCUUGGGGACGACCUUUGUCGGCCCACAGGGCCUUGGUCCUCACGUUAGGAUCCCCACAGCAUUCUUUGUGUUACCCACUGUGUGUUGUUCCUAUUCCACUAUUACCAGUCCCUGUCUUUUGCUGACCGCGAUUUGGCCGCGGUUUUGUUUCCUAGUUGAUAUUCACACUCUCUCAGAUGUAUACUGCCAUGAUCUGUUUGCGGCUUUGCUUUUUCCUUUCCCGCCCUUUUCUGUGACGCACGCAGCUCCGUGGCUCUAGUGACGGUGGCCAUCUUAGUGUACGGCAGUUGAUCUCGCCGACAGAGCUUAUUCUACCUGUCUUGCACUGAGGACUUAGCGUUUUGGCAGUUAUUUACCUAUUCCUACUGGUUCCAAGGUAGGUUCUAUAAUUUCAUUAUUAUUUAUUUAUUUAGAUCUUAUUUUAUUUAAUACAGUUAUUCUGAGCACCUCUCUCUCUCUGUUUGCCCCACUGACAGGUUCAGACAACUUGCUUAAUAAAAGUGUUUUCUCCUGCAAUAUCUGUUACCAUCAUUAUUAAAUCCAAACAAUAAACUUGCCACAAGUGUGACCCCUUGUUUAUAAAAGGUGACCCCUGUUUUUUUUUGUUUUUUUUUGCUACAGAGGUACAUUGGUUUCUGUUUGUUUGCUUCUGCGUCUUAUUAUUGGUGGGUGACCCCCACUUAUUACUGCACUUCGUGUAACCUCCAUUUGCCCACUUGGGUGAACCCAACCUUGACUUCACAGGAUGACCACCUUUUUACACCUGGGUGACCCCCUGCUGCAUUAAAACGGAGUGACCCCCUUUUGUAUCACCAAUUUUACUUUUCAAUUGUUAAUUAGUUUCAUCACUUCAGCCAAAUGUCUGAACAACCAGACUUUGCUGUUUCUGCUGAGCUCAAAUCUUGGCUCCUCUCUGCAAUAGCGGAAUCGAUGCUGAAGGCUAUUGCAGCUUAUCACGAACAGGCUAAACCUGUUUCCAGACCACAUGUUGCUCUGAAUAUUUCCGACUCGGAAGAGUCUCAUAAUGAUUCUGAUCAUGAAGGGGCUCCGCAAGCGCCUCUGGAAGGACAACAGUGCCUCAGCCAAUAAAGGUAAGGCACCAGCCAAAACCCCUAGACUGUCUCAUUCCUCCACGAUCCAUUUCAUACUCUACCCCUUGGAGGGUUCAACAUCGCAUCACGACCUGCAAGUCGUGGACGAGUACUGCGCAGGGUACUCUGAUGAGGAAUACCAAAGCAAUACUCCCUUUGUCAGGGAUUCCUUUGUUAAUCAUCCCCUGGUGCAGACUUCUACCCCGGUUAAUCCUUCCCAAAACAAGGAUAAAUCAUCAGACAUCCUGUUGUAUUCUAGUGACCAGCCCCGGUUUGAACCAAGGAUCAUCAAACAUCCCCGCUCGGCUGAGUGGGCACCACCGGCCCAUAUAGCCCAAUUCUGCAGAAUGUGGCUCUAGAAAUCUCUUGUAAAAGAGGUUCAAAACAAACUACUGGCAGAAUUCCCUUAUCCAAUGAUACUAGAUAACGUGACUCUUAAGCCUGAGUGUGAGCCUCUCCUAAUUACAUUCCUCAGCAAAUCAGGUAAAGAGCCCCACAAGGGCCUGGAACAGGGCCUAAAAAUGGUCCGGGAUAAGUUAUUGGACAUUGAUGGCCCCAUUAUUCAGAUUUUUAUUUUGGUGGAUGAAGCCAUUGCUGAAGGUACCUUGGAUCCACACUUGUGAAUGGGCACAAAGAGCCCUAUGUUUACUUGGGAAUGCUAAUGUGGCUAUGUCCAUGGAACAAGGAAAAGCUUCUCCCUAUAAAUUAGAUGCUAAACUGGCAGAUUUGAGUUCUAAAGAACUCAGUCCGAAGGCGAAGUCCUAUUGUUUGGUGAUCAGUUCAUGCUGGACCUCAACAGGUGAGUCUGUGUUCACCACGUUGAAUAAAGCUUAGACCUCUCUCCACAGAGUGUUAAGCUCAAAUCAUUUUUCAGCCAGGGGUGGGCGCCAAAGAGGCCAAGCUACCGGCAUAUCUGCCUUCAUAGGCUACAGGCCUCGCCCAGCUUAGCCUUGGAACUAAGGUUAUACCCGCCCUUAUCACAGAAAACUGUUCACCAAUAGAAGAUCAAUCAAAGGAUGUCGGUCUACUUCUCUCCAGGGUCGCUCUGCUCAAGGUAAUGCACCUACCUUAUUCUCUAAUACAUAUUGCAAGCUGUCUAACUCUUUUCUUUUUUCACAGUGGUCUAUUCUCACUCGGGAUCCUUCAGACUGUUUCAGGUUUUCCCAUAGACUUCACCACCGACCCUAUACAAGAGUUCCCUCCUUCCCCUCUAAGGAUGUCAUAGAAACAUAGAAACAUGGAAUGUGAUGGCAGAUAAGAACCAUUUGGCCUAUCUAGUUUCCCAAUUUUUUAAAAUACUUUCAUUAGUCCCUGGCCUUAUCUUAUAGUUAGGUAAGCCUUAUGCAUAUCCCAGGCAUGCUUAAACUCCUUUACUGUGUUAACCUCUACCACUUCAGCUGGAAGCCUAUUCCAUGCAUCCACUACCCUCUCAGUAAAGUAAUACUUCCGGAUGUUAUUUUUAAACCUUUGCCCCUCUAAUUUAAGACUAUGUCCUCUUGUGUUUUUUCUUUUGAAUAUAGUCUCCUCCUUUACUGUGAUUCCCUUUAUGUAUUUAAAUGUUUCUAUCAUAUCCCCCUGUCUUGUCUUUCCUCCAAGCCAUACAUGUUAAGUUCCUUUAACCUUUCCUUGUAAGUUUUUAUCAUGCAAUCCAUGAACCAGUUUAGUAGCCCUUCUCUGAACUCUUUCUAAAGUAUCAAUAUCCUUCUGGAGAUACGGUCUCCAGUACUGCGUACAAUACUCCAAGUGAGGUCUCACCAGUGUUCUGUACAAUGGCAUGAGCACUUCCCUCUUUCUACUGCUAAUACCUCUCCCUAUACAACCAAGCAUUCUGCUAGCAUUUCCUGCUGCUCUAUUACAUUGUCUGCCUACCUUUAAGUCAUCAGAAAUAAUCACCCCUAAAUCCCUUUCCUCAUAUGUUGAGGUUAGGACUCUAUCAAAUAUUCUGUACUCUGCCCUUGGGUUUUUACGUCCAAGAUGCAUUAUCUUGCACUUAUCCACAUUAAAUGUCAGUUGCCACAAUUCUGACCAUUUUUCUAGUUUACCUAAAUCAUUUGCCAUUUGGCUUAUCCCUCCUGGAACAUCAACCCUGUUACAUAUCUUAGUAUCAUCAGCAAAAAGACAUACCUUACCAUCAAGACCUUCUGCAAUAUCACUAAUAAAAACAUUAAAGAGAAUGGGUCCAAGUACAUAUCCCUGAGUUACCCCACUGGUGACAAGCUCCAAUCAGACACCGCCGUACUCCAUGCAGAACUCUUCAAGCUCAAAGGCAAGUGUGCAAUCGAACCCUCGUCAUCCCCUUCCAGAUUUGUCAGCAACAUUUUCCUAAUUUGGAAGAAGUUAAAUGACUUUCGCCCGAUCAUCAACUUGAGAAGUUUGAAUCAGUUCACAGUGUAUCGACAUUUCAAAAUGGAAGGCAUACACCUGCUCUGAGACCUGCUUUGUGAGGGUGAUUGGUUCUUCUGUUUCAAUCUCAGGGAUGCUUACCUUACAGUGCUGGUAGAGCCCUCUCACCGUCCCUUCCUCCAAUUCAUAUGGCAACAAGAGCUUCCCUUUUGGUCUCUCGUCCGCCCCUUGGUGCUUCACCAAAUUAAUGAAACCAGUUAUGGCCCUUCUCCGGUCUCAAGGUAUCAGGUCCAUAAUCUACUUAGACAACAUAUUAAUCAAGGUGCAGGACCCCCAUACUCUUCGAAAACAUACAGAUAUGACCAAAUUUCUCCUACAAAACCCCAGUUUUGUAAUCAAUUUAGAAAAAUCCACACUAAUACCAUCCCAGCUGUCCUUUUCCGGGGUUUUCAGAUCGACUCCAUUCUAUUGAUCCUUCCACUCCCGAUGUCAAAGAUAAAAGCCAUACAUUACAGGACAAUGCAACGCCUCAAGACGUGAUAUCUUCGCAGACCCCAGUCUUACCACCAACCAGUUUUCCUUGCAGAGGAGGUCCUUCUGGAAUUAGAUUGAUGGCUCCAGAACAUGGAGGCCUGGAAUGGGAAAGCUAUAUUUGGAAGCCGGCAGGAUUUUGUCCUUGAGUGUGAUGCCAGCAUCCUAGGGUGGGGAGCCAGUUGAACUGGCCUUUCUACGGGAGGUCUCUGGAACCAGAGCACUCGAUGCACAUCAAUUGCCUCGAGCUGAUGGCGGGUGCCUUUGCGAUUCACAGUUUCUCUAGGGACACUCACAACUGCUCUUUGAUUCUCAGAAUGGACAACGUUUCCGCUGUCUGCUAUGUCAAUUGUCUUGGAGGCUCUCGAUCGAAGCUCCUGUUGGACCUUUUGAAAAAACUUUACCAGUUCUGUUUAGGGAGGAAUCUCUCUUCGAGCAGAAUAUCUACCCGGCUCAGACAACCUUGUGGCAGCCUGGUUCUCCAGUUACUGGAGGGAUGCCAGCGAUUGGCAUCUAGAGCCAAUCUGUCUUCCAUCAUCUCCAUUGGCUUCGUGGGCCCAUCACGAUCGAUUUGUUUGUCUCCAGGCUGAACCGUCAGACAGACUACUUCUUCAGUUGGCUACUGGACCCGAUGUCUCAAGCUGUCGACUUCUUCCUACAACUUUGGCCGUUGACGGGAGCUUAUGCGUUUCUACCUUUUUCCAUGAUACCUCACACUCUCCAUCACCUCAGGGUUCUGGGAGUUACGGUCCUGUUAAUAACUCCUCUCUGGAGAAACCAACAUUGGUAUCCCAAUCUCUUAGAAAUGUCCACAGAUUACCCUCUGCUUCUGCCUCUGGAUCUCCUCCGAGAUCACUCCGGAGCUUAACGUCAUCUCACCAUCCAGGAACGUCUUCAGCUGGUGGCCUGGACUGUUUCAGGGGAUCCUGGUUAAUCUCGGGACUUUCAGACCCUGCUCGAAGUCUCUUCUGGGAUUUAUGGGCCCCGGGAACCCGCAGAUCUUACCUUUCGGCAUGGAAGUUCUGGGUUUGCUGGUGUUUGGAAAGGGAUAUUGAUCCCUUUUCAAUGACUCUGGUGAAUAUCAUGAAUUUCCUAUCAUCUCUUUUCAACGAUGGCAAGUCUUACCGUAUGAUAAACGUUUUUCGUUCUGCUAUUUCAGCGGCUCAUUGUCCGAUUGAUGCGGUUCCUGUCGGACAACACCCAUCCAUUUGCAGGCUCCUAUGGGGUAUUCACUUCUCCUCACCUCCAGACCCUCUUAUACCCAUUUUUGGGAUGUUGCACAGGUCUUGUCCUUCCUGGAAGCUUGGCCUCCUAACUCGGAACUGUCAUUACGGCAACUGUCUGCCAAACUAGCCCUACUGCUUUGUUUGGUCUCCUUUCUUUUGUUUUGACCUUGAUGCUAUUGCAUUUACUCCUGAAGGUGUAUGUUUCUCUGUUGCUCUAUGCACUAAGGUCCCUUCCGUUUUUUGGGUUUUUUUUAUGCAGAUUUCCCUGACAGGCUAUCUCUUUGUGUUGCCCAUUGUUUGCAACGGUAUGUCAAACAAAUAUGAAGCCUCUUGUUUUACCAUAAAAUUAGGGAUUAUUCUAAUGUCAGUGACCAAAUUAUCUAAAUUUUAUUAAAGACAGAAGGCAAAUAUUUUCCCACCCUAUGUCUUCUCGGACAUCUUUUCAUAUUGCCCCCCCCUCCAGGUUUCAUCUAUGAAGGGAUACUCAGGUAAGGUAUUUGAGAGCUUUAUGUGCCUCAUUCUUUUCGUAUUUAGGUAAGGUAUUCAAGAGUUUUGUCUGCCUCAUUCUUGUCGUGUUUCAGGUUCUUUGUGUUACUUAUGCACUAACCCGUCUAGGCAUUUGAUUGUAUUUAAACCGUGUAUAUAGUUAUGUAUAUAACAUAUCAUAUCAAGUUUGUAAAUUUGGCAACCAAAACAACUUUUCUUCUCUUUCUAGUGUGAAACUAUCUUCAUACUCUUCAUGACAUCCUUGAUUUGUGGAUCUAAUGGUUUGACUACCUUUCGUUUAUAUGUUUGACUACGGUUCUUUGAAGAUUAUUCAUUUUCUAAAUACACGGUUGACAUCACAUUCCGGUUGCAUGAAGAAAGAGGAGUUGGGAGGAGUCUCACAGCCAUAUAUUAC
rnacentral:lncRNA from 1 species